CAACGCGUAGUUUAAUUUAGAAUCCUA
rnacentral:tRNA from 1 species